rnacentral:rRNA from 1 species
AGAUUAAGUUAUUAAGGGCGCACGGUGGAUGCCUUGGCACUAGAAGCCAAUGAAGGACGUUACUAACGACGAUAUGCUUUGGGGAGCUGUAAGUAAGCUUUGAUCCAGAGAUUUCCGAAUGGGGAAACCCAGCAUGAGUUAUGUCAUGUUAUCGAUAUGUGAAUACAUAGCAUAUCAGAAGGCACACCCGGAGAACUGAAACAUCUUAGUACCCGGAGGAAGAGAAAGAAAAUUCGAUUCCCUUAGUAGCGGCGAGCGAAA